rnacentral:tRNA from 1 species
GCGUGUGUAGUGUAAGGGUAACAUGUCUUCCUUCCAAGAAUACGAUUCGGGUUCGAGUCCCGGCAGUAGUG